GUGAGAAUGAGCAACCCCAGACCAUCCAGGCAGCCCUGAGUCAGCAUCCAGCCCUGCCUCUGCAUGCAGAGAAGUGGUUUUCUCAAGGUCACAGGCAGAGCUUUCCCGCAAGGUCCUACUAUACCUGGAGGGACUGUCACCUGGCAUGAACUCGACCCCUGUCUGGCUCACCUUUCGUCAGG
ensembl:lincRNA